AACUGUGGAUUCAGUCGUCUAUUGCACGUUCAGUGACAGUCAGUUAUUCCAGGUCUUCCCUUUGUGAUCAGAAGAAGAAAACUAAGUAGAAGACCAUGGCAAGUCCUGACUGGGGAUAUGAUGGUGAAAACGGUCCUGAACACUGGUGCAAGCUGCAUCCCAUUGCAAAUGGAAAUAACCAGUCUCCUAUCGACAUUAAAACCAGUGAAACCAAGCGUGAUCCCUCUCUGAAACCUCUCAGUAUCUCCUACAAUCCAGCCACAGCCAAAGAAAUCGUCAACGUGGGACAUUCCUUCCAUGUAAACUUUGAGGACAGUGAUAAUAGAUCAGUGCUGAAAGGCGGCCCUCUACCUGAGAGCUACAGGCUGCGUCAGUUCCAUUUUCACUGGGGCAGCACCGAUGACUGUGGCUCUGAGCACUUAGUGGAUGGAGCCCCAUUUUCUGCAGAGCUUCAUUUAGUUCACUGGAAUUCUGCCAAGUACCCCAGCUUUGCUGAUGCCGCCUCACAGGCUGAUGGUUUGGUGAUUGUCGGCGUUUUGAUGAAGGUGGGUCAGGCCAACCCAAACCUUCAGGAAGUACUUGAUGCCCUAAAAACAGUUAAAACUAAGAACAAGAAAGCUCCAUUCACAAAUUUCAACCCCUCUGUUCUCCUGCCUUCAUGCACGGAUUACUGGGCCUACUUUGGUUCACUGAACUCACCCUCCUCUUCAUGAGAGUGUCACCUGGAUCAUCUUUAAAGAGACCAUCAGUGUGAGCGCGGAACAGCUGGCGCAGUUCCGCAGUCUGCUAGCAAAUGCUGAAGGCGAUCAAGAAGUCUGCAUCAAGCAGAACUACCGACCACCCCAGCCUCUGAAGGGCAGGACAGUGAGAGCUUCAUUCUGACGGGCCCUAGAGGAAGCUCACCUUCCCUCAAGAAGCACAGCUCUGCUUCUGACAUAAUCCAACAAAACAAGCUUUAAGAAACACAUUUAUUUCAAUACUAGCAAGACAGCCUGCUUGCGAAUUUACUCUGCAGAACGCAAAAUCUUUUUCUUCUUUAUGUUGAACUCAAACAGUAAUCUGUAAGUUCACUAAACUUGUGUUUAAAUUCAAUCUGUUGCAUUGACUUCCUUAUCACUGCAAUUAAGGCAUACUUGAUUUCUUCAAGACUUUAUCCCUCCCCAUUUUAUUCAGUUUGAUUGGACCAAAAAUAAUUUUAUCCCUUUCUUCUUGUCUAUUACGUACUAUACUUUUAAAUGGCAUUAGGUUCUACUCCAUUUACAUUCAAGAAUCUUAAAUGCUUUCAUUUGCAACAUUAUUCUGAUGCAAUAUCAGGUCUAUUACUCAAAUAUAAUGACCUAAGAGCAGCUUGAGAUGCAAUGUUAAGAAUUCAUUUGCUUACGCUUGAAGACAAAUAUGCAGCUAAAAUGACAACUGGAUUUUAUAUUAUGGUCAAAUAAAUGGCCCAACAUUGCUACCGUUUGUGUGCUCUGUUAUAAAAACGAUGCAUCUCAUUUAAGAACUGACACUUCUGGUUAUUCCUCCACCCAAUAGCAAGGCCAAUGGGGUUGUUCCAUUAUUACAACUAGUUAGCUUAUAUGAAGAAUCUGUAUGUCAGAUUUGGAAGAAAAAUCACCUGUGAGUUAUUUUUAAAAAUAAUGAAGGAAUCACUUGACUUAGAAUCAUACAGAAACAUCACAUAAUCUUUUAGUCUGGUGUGUACUUAACCUGAAGUCGGUUCUUUCUGAAGCCAUAUCUACACUCAGAAUUCUACAAAUCUUGUGUCCAGCAUUUAGUUUUGUGUUUUCUUUACUUUCUCUUCCCUGAGAAAUCAUAAUGGCGAUCAAAACCCACAUCCAUUCCCAUGUUCAAGUCUUGUCUGAUGUCACAGAAUCAGUCAAAACUUCUCACAAUUGUAAUCAUGGUUAAAAAGACAGACAAACCAGAUUCUUUAUUGCUCUGGGGCAAUAAAGAUCCUAGGAGACAUCUUUGUACCUAAAAAUCCUAGGAGACAUCUUUGGAAAUUUUUAUUUGGAGCCCAGAAUUUAAGUGAAUCUUUAUUAAAAAUGGAAGGGCCAAGGAGCACUUCAUUUAUCUCAGCCCCCAUAAGCAUUCUAAAGAAUUACAUACUUUCUUUGCAAACCUA